rnacentral:RNase_P_RNA from 1 species
ACGGGCCGGUGGACGGUCGCGUCGUCGCCCGCGAGGGCGGCGCCGAGGAACGUCCGGGCUCCGCAGAGCAGGGCGGUGGGUAACGCCCACCCGGGGUGACCCGAGAGCAAGUGCAACAGAGAGCAGACCGCCUCCGAGGGCCUUCGGGUCCUCGGCGGUAAGGGUGAAACGGUGGUGUAAGAGACCACCAGGGGCCCGUGUGAGCGGGCUCGCUGGGUAAACCUCGCCCGGAGCAAGGUCGAACAGGGACCGAUUCGGCUGCUCGUCGAUGGUCCCGGGUGGACCGCUGGAGGGCCGCGGCAACGCGUCCCCGAGAUAGAUGGCCGUCACCGGUGCCUCGGCACCGGGACAGAACCCGGCGUACAGCCGGCCCGUUCCG